GGGGUACACGAGUGGCGAACGGGUGAGUAACACGUGGGUGACCUGCCCCUAGCUCUGGGAUAAGCCUGGGAAACUGGGUCUAAUACCGGAUAGGAGCGUCCACCGCAUGGUGGGUGUUGGAAAGAUUUAUCGGUUUUGGAUGGACUCGCGGCCUAUCAGCUUGUUGGUGAGGUAAUUGGCCUACCAAGGCGACGACGGGUAGCCGACCUGAGAGGGUGAUCGGCCAC
rnacentral:misc_RNA from 1 species